UAACGCGUGAGCAAUCUGCCUUUGGAUGGGGGAUAACAGCCGGAAACGGCUGCUAAUACCGCAUAAUGCAACGGGACCGCAUGGUUCUGCUGCCAAAGAUUUAUUGUCCAAAGAUGAGCUCGCGUCUGAUUAGCCAGUUGGCGGGGUAACGGCCCACCAAAGCGACGAUCAGUAGCCGGACUGAGAGGUUGAACGGCCACAUUGGGACUGAGACACGGCCCAGACUCCUACGGAAGGCAGCAG
rnacentral:rRNA from 1 species